UACGUAGGUGGCAAGCGUUGCCCGGAUUUAUUGGGUUUAAAGGGUGCGUAGGCGGUCGUAUAAGUCAGUGCUGAAAUAUCCCGGCUUAACCGGGAGGGUGGCAUUGAUACUGCAUGACUUGAGUAAAGUUGAGGUUGGCGGAAUUGACGGUGUAGCGGUGAAAUGCUUAGAUAUCGUCAAGAACACCUAUUGCGAAGGCAGCUAACUAAGCUUUAACUGACGCUGAGGCACGAAAGUGUGGGGAUCAAACAGG
rnacentral:rRNA from 1 species